GAAAUAUAGGCUAAUCGUUUAAACCGUGGGCCUUCAAAGCCCAAACUGUGAACUACUCACUAUUUCUG
rnacentral:tRNA from 1 species